rnacentral:tRNA from 1 species
CAAAGGAUAGUUUAAUAAAUAAAACACUAACCCUGGGAGUUAGAAACACAGAAAAAUCUGUUCCCUUGA